GUCCGGAGACGUCGGCGGGGGC
rnacentral:snRNA from 1 species